AGAAGAUCCAACUGUCUGACUGUUGGUAGCAAGAGGAAGAUGCUUCAUGUGAGUUCCGAAACAUGGGCAAAGUAUAGGCAUCACACUCUUCGACUCUCGUGGUCAAAGCUCCAACUUUCCCCUGAAGUUUCUGUCGCAGAAUGUCCAGGGCUCUGCAGUAGCCAUGAGGAAGGCACACGAGGUCCAAGGGGGCAGAGAAUUCAAGUCACAUCAUUCGCAGCACACCAACCAUAAUUUCCUCCAUUCCAGCCACAAGAGACUUGGGAUUCUCCAAGCUCUCCUGGCCAUUUCUGGCCUCGUGAUCUCUGCACCGGAAGUUCUCUCCUUAGGUGGUGUUCUUGCUCCAUCCCUCCAUCCAGGUUUCAGCUGUGGGCUUAUCAGAGUUUCCCAUUGCUAUAUGAGCUCCCUGAAGGUGAGUAAUUUGUUUGCUUACCUCUGAAUCCCUACUACCCAGAAAACUGCUCAAUAAAUAAAUACCAAACAAGGG
rnacentral:lncRNA from 1 species